UAAACCCCAUAAAUUUAUAAGAUUCGAACCUGCAGCAGGUCGAGUCGAACGCAGUGAGACAACGGAGCCGUUUACGGCGACGGCCCGAAGGGCGAGCGAAGCGAGUCAUCCUGCACGACCUACCA
rnacentral:sRNA from 1 species